rnacentral:piRNA from 1 species
UAGGGAGCAAGAGACAGAUCUCUGAGU